rnacentral:rRNA from 2 species
UACAGAGGGUGCGAGCGUUAAUCGGAAUAACUGGGCGUAAAGGGCGCGUAGGUGGUUAUGUAAGAUCGAUGUGAAAUCCCUGGGCUUAACCUAGGAACUGCAUUGAUGACUGGAUAGCUAGAGUACUGAAGAGGGUAGUAGAAUUUCCGGUGUAGCAGUGAAAUGCGUAGAGAUCGGAAGGAAUACCAGUGGCGAAGGCGGCUACCUGGACAGAUACUGACACUGAGGCGCGAGAGCGUGGGGAGCAAACAGG